GGUGUGUGCUAAGCGAUAUAAUCACUCUCUGAGAAUACCAGACAGGAGGCUUUCAGUAACACCCUGCUUUGAGGAUGGCACUCAGCAUAAGGCCCAAUGGUGGAAGGUGACUCUAGUAUUUCCCUAUAGGCAGAUAGUGCUCUAGGCCAGUGGUGGAAGGUGACUCUAGUAUUUCCCUGUAAGCAGACAGUGCUCUUGGCCAGCAGCGGAAGGUGAGUAUAGUAUUUCCUAGUAAUUAGACAGUGCUCUAGGCCAGUGGCGGAAGGUGACCUUAGUAUUUCCCCAUAAGGAGACAGUGCUCUAGGCCAGCGGUGGAAGGUGAGUCUAGUAUUUCGCCGUAAGCAGACAGUGCUCUUGGCCAGCAGUGGAAGGUGAGUCUAGUAU
ensembl:lncRNA